GACAGAUGUCGCUCUCUGAUUGGCUGAUGCUGCAGCUAUGUCCCGGUCAAGCUUCUGGAAUCUUCCCAGAUGUCGCUCUCUGAUUGGCUGAUGCUGCGCUAUGUCCCGGUCAAGCUUCUGGAAUCUUCCCCCUUCUGAGUCUGCUCCGGUCUAGCUUUUCACUUGUGCGAGACUUUGCGAUUUGGAAGUUUUCCAGUGCUGCCAGCUGUGAUCUUCACCUGUGCUUCACUACACCCACCUUCAAUCAUCUACACUACUGUUACAUCUCAAUCAGAAAACAACACACUGACUAGAUAAACAUAUUCAGA